GCCCACCUCCUCUCCCGUGGGUGGCGUCCUCGCGCGCCCAUGGCGAUCUCGCGCAUCCACCCCCUCUUCCUCCUGCUCCUGCUCCGCGCCUUCGCGUUGCUUCCCACGCAGGCUGCAGCUAGAGGCGGCCACGAUCUGCCAGAUGAUGGAGAUCAUGGGUCAAUUUCACGUAACCUGCUCCAAGAUAAGCCUCAUAUCACGGAAGAAAUGGCUCGUGGAUAUAUGAGCAAUGCUGAGCUUGAGAUUGCUGUACAUGCCUUUGGAAGUCGUUGCUCUAAUAUCUCCAGAAUAUACAGGGAUAACACAAACAUUUUAUCAGCAUUGGAAAGAGUGUGAACGACUUUCCAUUGUGGGUGAUCGAAAUAUCAGACAAACCCAGGCAAAGAGAAGCUGAACCAGCAUUCAAGUUCAUUGGAAAUGUUCAUGGUGAUGAGCCUGUUGGAAGAGAGGUUCUUAUGCAUCUUGCGAAUUGGCUGUGUGAUAACUAUCGAAAGGAUCCAUUGGCAACUCUCAUUGUGGAGAAUAUGCACCUUCAUAUACUUCCGACAAUGAACCCAGAUGGAUUCACUCUUAAAUGGCGUGGUAAUGCAAACAAUAUUGAUCUCAACCGAGAUUUUCCUGACCAAUUCUUCUCCGUUAACAACGAUAUUAACUACAGACAACCUGAAACUAGAGCCAUUAUGAACUGGAUAAAGCAAGAACAUUUCACGGCUUCUGCUAGUUUGCAUGGGGGUGCUCUCGUUGCCAAUUAUCCAUGGGAUGGAACUAAAGAUACAGGAAAACGUUACUAUGGAUGUCCUGAUGAUAAGACAUUCCAGCACAUGGCAUCAGUGUAUAGUCAGUCCCACUACAACAUGUCCUUGAGCAAAGAAUUUGAAGGGGGGAUAACAAAUGGAGCCUUCUGGUAUCCAAUAUAUGGUGGCAUGCAAGACUGGAAUUAUAUACAUGGAGGCUGCUUUGAGUUAACUCUGGAGAUUAGUGACACAAAGUGGCCAAAAGCAGCUGAGGUAUCUUUGCAUCCAGUUAUAUAUGGUUCUGCUUGUGUUGUUGCGGACUUUUUUUUUCUUUUUCAAUUGUGUAUUCUAACAUUUUGCUACAGCUUCCUGUUAUCUGGGAACACAAUAGAAUGAGUAUGCUUAAUCUUCUUGCAAGCCUAAUAAAGUCAGGGGUUCAUGGAAGGAUAUUUGCAGCAGAUACUGGUAGACCUAUACCUGGCUCAGUGACGAUAAAGGGUAUUGAUUCCAAGGUAAGAGCAAGCAGGACUUUUGGAGAUUACCAUCGAAUUAUUGUGCCUGGUGAGAAAUAUGAUGUUAUGGCAUCAAUGGAAGGCUUCCGACCAAAAUCCACACGCAUUGUGCUGGAGCAGGGAGCUGUCAACCUUGAUUUCAUCCUGGACCCGGACGGAGCUGAUGUGCUCGGUAAUGACUACGGUUGCCGCUGCGGCAAUGACAUGAUGUUCCAUGUUCAAGAAGCUCACAUCUGGCUGUAUCUUCUUAUACUGUGUGUUCUCCUGACCCUCUAUUUGGUCUUCAAGAGGAAAACCGCAUCAAGGCUGCUGGCAUACAGAUACUCACCCAGACGGCCUGUUGCUGUGUAAUAUGAAUUUACACCCUAGGACAGUUUUGUAACCUAUAGGUUCGCACCCAAAUGCUCUGUUGUAUAAGCUGAAGGAUAUGUAAGUUUUGCAUCGAUGGAAAGUUUUGCUUCAUGGAAGAAUAUCACAAAUUGCAAGGCAUAUUAUGUUUCA